AGAUCAGAAUGUUGGUCGUGCCUUGGUACGUACUGGCAUUAUUGGUUUCUCCCUUCUGACGAACCAUGAUGUCAUUUAUUUGGUGUUGUGGGGAAUCAGGACUGUUACUUUGAAAAAAUUAGAGUGUUCAAAGCAGGCUCACGCUUGAAUACAUUAGCAUGGAAUAAUGAAAUAGGACGUUCGAUCCUAUUUUGUUGGUUUCUAGGAUUGACGUA
rnacentral:rRNA from 1 species